ACAGUCUCUUAAUUUUUGUUUUCUUCCAUGAAUGCACUAUUCAUGCCUAUGCCAAAUCAACUGUUUCUUAUUUUCAGUGGUGAUGCAUGCAAUUUUCUGCAUUGAGUGUUUUAGUUCUAGUAUUUUUGGCGCCAUUUUUAUCCCAUCUCUUUCACAGGUCAAAGAGGUGACUCCAGCAGCUAGGAGAAGAGAUGCAAGACUGUCCUUUGCUUUUGUAUAUCCUGAUAAAAAUGGUCGUUUUGUAGUACGAGAGGUGGGCAAGACCAAUUCUCAUAGAAAUGGGAAAUUUGACGACAACAAAGCAUUGGCUCAGCUUGGCUUCCAGAUUGGGGAUUACUUGGAUGUGGCAAUUUUUUAGAGGCUCUAUUAUGUCAAAUUGAGAAAGGGAUGGAUAGACAGUGGACUAAUAAUCAUCGUAUGCAAAGAGCUUCAACAUUUUUGGUUGGACAAGAUGGUAUAUAGGGUAAUUUGAAGAAUAAAUGACAGAAUUUGUGCUCUACAUCACAUCUACAUCUUCUUCCGCCAUGUUCGGAGGUACUCCGAGUGUUUAGGCUUUAGAGAUCUGUGAAUCUACCAGGAAUGAUGUUUUAAUUCAUUUUCUUUUUUCCCUGGUUUUAAUUCCACUGUGUUCUGGAUUUAUUUUGGCAUAAACGAUUGGAUCUGCUUAAAGGUCAAUAAUUACACCUCAGAAUGGCUACCCUGUCCAGAAUCCUACUGGCUUACCAGCUAGGAAAAUGCUUUAGAGAUUGAAAAUGAUGUGUUGUUAAUGAGCUUGCUCUACUUUACAUGCCGAGAAUUAUUUGUAUGAUAUUUGCACGACACUAAAAAUUUGUCCA